rnacentral:rRNA from 1 species
UACGAAGGGGGCUAGCGUUGCUCGGAAUCACUGGGCGUAAAGCGCACGUAGGCGGAUCUUUAAGUCAGGGGUGAAAUCCUGGAGCUCAACUCCAGAACUGCCUUUGAUACUGGGGAUCUCGAGUCCGGAAGAGGUGAGUGGAACUCCGAGUGUAGAGGUGAAAUUCGUAGAUAUUCGCAAGAACACCAAUGGCGAAGGCGGCUCACUGGCCCGGUACUGACGCUGAGGUGCGAAAGCGUGGGGAGCAAACAGG